ensembl:lncRNA
UUCCUUCUCCAGGGUAUCUUCCCAACCCAGGGAUGGAACCUGCAUCUCUUGCAUCUCCUGCAUUGUAGGUGGGUUCUUUACCACUAGCAUCACCUGGGAAGCCCCAGUGGGUUGAGUGCUGGUCCCCGAAAGAUAUGUCCAACCAGACAUGCAGCCUCAAGUGAAGGAACACCUGCAUCCCCAGAAGCUGGAAGAGAAAAGGAAGGAGUCCCCUUGGAGCCCUCCUAGGGACCAUGGCUCUACUCCAUCUUGUUCCAGACCUAUGGCCUCCAUAAUUCACAGGAGACCUACAUGCAAUGGCACUCUUUUUGCUGACCAUGAUCCUGAAGAACUUAAGCAUUUAAAGCCCAGAGGCUCCGGACACUGCCGAACAGGAAGCUCUUGGCAGGAGCACAGGGCUGGUGCUCCAUCUGUCCAGGAGGAGCUUGCAGGAGAGUUGGUUCAUGAUGACACAACUCAGGGAUCUUCUGCUCCCAUCUGAGGGAAAGUGCUCCAGCAUGUGGGUCAGAAGAAAUGUUUUCAAGGAAAUUUUGGAAAGAGCAGUUUAUGAGUCAAGACACAAUCUCAAAACAAUCAAAACCAUUUGUUUUGCAUUUUCUUCAACCUGAAAAUAUCUGACACUGACGCUAGAAGAGCUGGAAAAUCUCCCGCAAGCAUCCUGCAGAACUUGGGAGAGCUGUACUUAUGAAAUGAUGAUUCUGGGAAAUCAAGGAAAGAUGUGCACUUUUACAUUUAGAAG